rnacentral:rRNA from 1 species
GACGAACGCUGGCGGCGCGCUUAACACAUGCAAGUCGAGCGAGAACCUGGGCUUCGGCCCUGGGGACAGCGGCGAACGGGUGAGUAACACGUGGGUAAUCUGCCCUUGACAUCGGGAUAGCCCGGGGAAACCCGGAUUAAUACCGAAUAGCCUCCGGAGCCUUCGGGCGCCGGAGAAAAGGUAGCUUCGGCCUCUGGUCAAGGAUGAGCCCGCGGCGGAUUAGCUUGUUGGCGGGGUAACGGCCCACCAAGGCGACGAUCCGUAGCUGGUCUGAGAGGACGAUCAGCCACACUGGGACUGAGACACGGCCCAGACUCCUACGGGAGGCAGCAGUGGGGAAUCUUGCGCUAAUGCGGGAAACCGUGACGCAGCGACGCCGCGUGGGGGAAGAAGGCCU